UAAUACCUAUAGGUUACAGAUGCUGGAAUGCUCUGUAAUCAAAAGUUCCGGCGCCCUAGGAUGGAUCUGCGGCCGAUUAGGUUGUUGUUGGGGUAAUGGCCCAACAAGCCAGUAAUCGGUACGGGUUGUGGGAGCAAGAGCCCGGAGUUGGAUUCUGAGACACGAAUCCAGGCCCUACGGGGCGCAGCAGGCGCGAAAACUUUACAAUGCGGGCAACCGUGAUAAGGGAACCUCGAGUGCCUGUAAAUGCAGGCUGUUCAGAUGCCUAAAACACAUCUGGAGAAAGGGCCGGGCAAGACCGGUGCCAGCCGCCGCGGUAAUACCGGCGGCUCGAGUGGUGGCCACUUUUAUUGGGCUUAAAGCGUUCGUAGCUGGGUUGUUAAGUCUCUUGGGAAAUCUGGCGGCUUAACCGUCAGGCGUCUAAGGGAUACUGGCAAUCUUGGAACCGGGAGAGGUGAGGGGUACUUCGGGGGUAGGAGUGAAAUCCUGUAAUCCUCGAGGGACCACCUGUGGCGAAGGCGCCUCACCAGAACGGCUUCGACAGUGAGGGACGAAAGCUGGGGGAGCAAACCGGAUUAGAUACCCGGGUAGUCCCAGCCGUAAACUAUGCGCGUUAGGUGUAU
rnacentral:rRNA from 1 species